UGUAAUGAUUCGCUCAAGCUUUAAAUUGUAAUUAUACAGGGCGGGUUUUAGGUUGUGUUUUCCUCGUGCAGGAAGGGAGGUCUACGUGAAGCGUAAACGUUCUGGUCGGGAUUUGAAUAAGGGAGAGUUCUCAGGGUUGCCGAGGUACUGGUAGAAUGGUAAUUUCAACGACGGUGAUAAACUCGACCAUACGUUGGGCUAACAGGAAUGGAUUACGGAAUGGGAUUGCGGAAGGACUACAACGACGGUGAUAGACUCGACCAUACGCUGAAGCAAUUAGAUGGAAUCGGGUUGUUAUUUGCGGGGUUGAUGCAGCGACGGUGAUAUACUCGACCAUACGCUGAAUCGGAAUCUGGAAGGGUGGUAGAAAGAACAAUGUUGCAGGAUCUGGGAUCUGCUUUCCAUUUGACUGUGCUCUUGUUUAUAUACACCUUACCGUUGUAGUGGGGUAAGGAUAGUGGCAGGGAUAUCUGCGCAGUCAAAUGUUUAUAUGGAGUGCUCCUGCCCUCUCUUGUCCAAAAUUCGCAUAAUUUUUAAAAGAUUUUAUACGAAAUCUGAAUUAUAAAAUUACUGAAUUUUUAAUCC